CAUUCUUCAUCUAUUAUUAUUUAUUUGCAUUUCCUAAAAUAUGUCUACACCUUCUGUCUUUCUUUGAUGUUUAUUCAUCAGGUUUUUGCAUUCGGAAGUUGAUAUUGCAGAAAUAAUUGACCGUGUUAUUCUCCUUGAGCAGCUGCUCUUUUUGAUACAGACUAUACCUUUAAAUUUACCAGUUGGAACGUCCUGCUACUUGGAUAAUAUGCGUUUAGAAAGAACAAAAAACUCUCAGAAGGUAUUUAAAGUGUGAGAAGAAGAUGCUAGAGGAUUUCAUCUAUUCUGUAUUGUGCUAUGUAUGUGUAAUAGGUACAAUAAUAUAUAAAUACAUCAAUAAAAGGAAAUAACAAACUAAAAAACAA